AGAAUGAACGCUGGCGGCGUGCUUAACACAUGCAAGUCGAACGGAAUCCAAGGAGCUUGCUCUGGAAGAUUUAGUGGCGAACGGGUGAGUAUCACGUGAGCAACCUGCCCCGAAGACUGGGAUAACACCGGGAAACCGGUGCUAAUACCGGAUACCUUCCAAUGACCGCAUGGUCGAUGGAAGAAAUGUUUUUCGCUUCGGGAGGGGCUCGCGGUCCAUCAGCUUGUUGGCGGGGUAACGGCCCACCAAGGCUUCGACGGAUAGCUGGUCUGAGAGGACGAUCAGCCACACUGGAACUGAGACACGGUCCAGACUCCUACGGGAGGCAGCAGUGGGGAAUCUUGCGCAAUGGACGAAAGUCUGACGCAGCAACGCCGCGUGAGGGACGAAGGUUUUCUGAAUUGUAAACCUCUUUCGACAGGGACGAUAAUGACGGUACCUGUAGAAGAAGCACCGGCCAACUAUGUGCCAGCAGCCGCGGU
rnacentral:rRNA from 1 species